rnacentral:lncRNA from 1 species
UCUAGUCUAGAAUUAAAGGAAUGUUUCCUUAACUUCUCGAGCUGCCCUGCAUUGAAAUGGCUAUCUUUCUCUGAUCAUUGCUGCUUUGAUUCUGUAAAGAAGAUCGUGUUCCAAUCAAUAGAAUAUCUUUGCUUCUACUUCUGCCAGUUCAGUGAGUAUCACCACACUCACAUUUAUGCACCAAGCCUCGUUGGACUCCAUCUUGAAGCAAUUGUUACACCUCACCAGAAUUGUGAUGAUCGUUGUAGUAAUACUUACUCUGGUUAUUGUGAGGAUGAAAACUGUCAUGGUUGUCAUGGUAUGCUAGGUGAGACUGGCAAUGAUAGUGCCAAUGUGUGCUCCUGGGAGGAUUAUCAAAAGCUAAGAACUUUGAUACCCAAUGAGUGGUGUGUUGCCACUGAUUUGUGGCCUCUAGCUUGUAUUCUCAAACAAUGUCCAGUUCUAAAUAAGCUCACUCUUCGAAAUUCCAAGAAACAUAAUGAGUUGGUGAAAUCAGCUGCAAUAUCUGAACACCUCAAGGUUGUGAAAAUCGUCUGUAAAGAAGCUGAUGAUGGGGUUUACAAAAUUGUGAAGUGCUUUAGUACAUGGAAGUUAUUAUCAAAAGGAGGAAUCAGUCGCCAAAACGUAAACUAUUGA